rnacentral:rRNA from 1 species
AUUGAACGCUGGCGGCAGGCCUAACACAUGCAAGUCGGACGAGUGGCGGACGGGUGAGUAAUGUCUGGGGAACUGCCUGAUGGAGGGGGAUAACUACUGGAAACGGUAGCUAAUACCGCAUACCAUCAGAUGUGCCCAUAUGGGAUUAGCUUGUAGGUGGGGUAACGGCUCACCUAGGCGACGAUCCCUAGCUGGUCUGAGAGGAUGACCAGCCACACUGGAACUGAGACACGGCCCAGACUCCUACGGGAGGCAGCAGUGGGGAAUAUUGCACAAUGGGCGCAAGCCUGAUACAGCCAUGCCGCGUGUAUGAAGAAGGCCUUCGGGUUGUAAAGUACUUUCAGGGGGGAGGCGUUACCCACAGAAGAAGCACCGGCUAACUCCGUGCCAGCAGCCGCGGUAAUAC